AAAACCCAUGUUUUCUUCCAAAAGUAUGUGCUCAUUCAUGUGUAAUUACUUCCACCCCACUAAUCAAAGUAUUCUCGUAAGUGUAGAAUCUGCUAUUUAAAAUACAUACCGCCGUAGCGCUCUCUGGCUGAAUCCAUGUUGUGCCUCCAUCUUUGAAAUACAUUCGCCGACGAGGGACAUUCCUGAAAUUCAAGCUCCGCCUUUCGCGCUUUCAGAGCACACUCAAGCUGGCCGCGAGCUGAAGCCUACGGAGGUUGCAUGUGUAGGCGGUAUACGUCAUCAAGACAGUCUUAUUUCAGAAUAUUAACAAUUAUAAAGCUGACAUUUAUUCUUAGUUAAUUGUAAAUUGAUGUAAUAUGCUUAUGACUUGCGAAUGUAAUGCUCAGUUAAUUUAAAUAAACCAGGCUUGAUGACGUAUGCAGCCCGGAUAUGCGACCUGCGUUAGACUGAAUCCUUCGGCCGCACGCCGUGAUAAACCUGCGAUCUAAUGCUUUGAAAGCCUGUUGAAGAACUAUUCUCGAGGACAUUAAAACAAGUCGCCAAGGAAGCGAAACAGGGAUUUUAAACGACAACGCGACAGGAAAAAAAUCAAGACCAAAGUCAAUAUUGGAGUUAGUUUUCCAAGAUGGGGCUCAUUGGACUCAAGUUACUUUCUAUCUUCACCACAGACCUGCACCUUCCUUGAACAUGUUGGUAUCUUACUCUGUAUUUGUUCACGGUGGUCACCCCAGGGUCUCAGGACUCAAAACGAGUGCUCUAUGGAUUGAACAUAAAAUGUAGUAUAAACAAGUGUUAUGUUGUCUUCAACAUGUUGGUAACUUACUCUGUAUUUGUUCACGGUGGUCACCCCAGGGUCUCAGGACUCAAAACGAGUGCUCUAUGGAUUGAACAUAAAAUGUAGUAUAAACAAGUGUUAUGUUUUUAAAUGCCACUAAUAAUGUGUUUCUGUUUUCUUUCUCAUUAUGCUAACAAACACUCUUUUACCCCUCAUGUUAGGUAGAUCAACACUCCAACCAUCUGCAUUAGGGACUGAAUAAAGGAUGCCCUCUGUAGCUGGGAAUGUUAGAUCAGGCGGAUCAACAUUCCAUCCAUCUGCAUUAGGAUCUACCUUAGAGACACUCACUGGAGCUGUAAAUGGGAAGCAGGUCACUUACUUUGCAUUCGUCCUUGGUGGUCACCCAAGGGUCUCUAGAGUGAAAAUUACUCAAUCUAUGGAUUAAACAGAAAAUUUAGUUGUAUGAAGUGCAAUUUGGGACAUUCUUCCAGUUGUCGGCAACUUUGUGAAAAAGGCUGGAAACUUAAAUGCAGAAUUCUGGCCUGGUGUUUGGUCUGUGCUGUCUUUGGCUCUUGCAUCUCCAUCAUCCUGACCCUCUUUAGCAGCCUGUCCAUGUAUUUAUUUGGAGG